rnacentral:rRNA from 1 species
AGUGAACGCUGGCGGCGUGCUUAACACAUGCAAGUCGAACGGUAACAGGAACUAGCUUGCUAGUUUGCUGACGAGUGGCGCACGGGUGAGUAAUAUAUAGUUAAUGUACCCCAAAGACUGGGAUAGCCACUGGAAACGGUGAUUAAUACUAGAUACACCUCUUUUAACAUAAGUUAGAGAGGGAAAUGUCUUUUCGCUUUGGGAUCAGACUAUAUCCUAUCAGUUAGUUGGUGAGGUAAUGGCUCACCAAGGCAAUGACGGGUAGCGGGUUUGAGAGGAUGAUCCGCCACACUGGUACUGAGACACGGACCAGACUCCUACGGGAGGCAGCAGUGAGGAAUAUUGCACAAUGGAGGAAACUCUGAUGCAGCAACGCCGCGUGGAGGAUGACGCAUUUCGGUGUGUAAACUCCUUUUAUGAGUCAAGAAAAUGACGGUAGCUCAUGAAUAAGCACCGGCCAACUCCGUGCCAGCAGCCGCGGUAA